rnacentral:rRNA from 1 species
GGACGAACGCUGGCGGCGUGCUUAACACAUGCAAGUCGAGCGGUAAGGCCCUUUCGGGGGUACACGAGCGGCGAAUGGGUGAGUAACACGUGGGUGACCUGCCCUCAGCUCUGGGAUAAGCCUGGGAAACCGGGUCUAAUACUGGAUAUGACUCCAUGACGCAUGUUGUGGGGUGGAAAGCCUUGUGCGGCUGAGGAUGGGCCCGCGGCCUAUCAGCUUGUUGGUGGGGUGAUGGCCUACCAAGGCGACGACGGGUAGCCGGCCUGAGAGGGCGACCGGCCACACUGGGACUGAGACACGGCCCAGACUCCUACGGGAGGCAGCAGUGGGGAAUCUUGCGCAAUGGGCGAAAGCCUGACGCAGCGACGCCGCGUGAGGGAU